UCUUUUUGGUGAUUAAAACAUAUGACAAGUGUGAUGUAACCCAUUUAUUCUGUUAAACCAUGUGGAUAAUCAAGGCAUUUGUAUGAGAGAA
rnacentral:snoRNA from 1 species